CCCUCCUGUCCUUUAUCGUUCCCGUUACUCCCUCUCUUCGUCUUCUUUUUUAUUUUAUUUUUUACAUUAUUCUCCGUUUAACCUUUAGGCUCUUCUUACAUUCUCUUUUUUUUCUUUGUUUUUCCUCGUCACUUCGCCUAUUUUCUUUUCUUUUUUCUCUCUCUCCUUUUAAGUCUUCGUUUUCCUGUUCGUCGUUAUUUUCAUUCUGUAUUUUUCUCCUCAAUUAUUUCUCACUUUCCUCAUGUAUUACUUUCCUGUAGUCGUGCGUUCCUUCUUUUUGUAUUUAUCCAUUUUCUCAAUCCUCUUCUUUCCCUGUUAACCUUUUUUACUAUCUCCUGUUCCUCCGUUUUCUAUUGUCACCUUUGCUUUCUUUCUUCUAUCGUAUUUUCCUCUUCCUUUUUUUUCUUGCUAAUGUCUAUAACUCUCCUUUCGCUUUCCUUCUCAUCUCUUCAAUCUUUCCUCUCUUCCUCUUUCCAGUCACGUAGCUUCUCUCCUCCUCCUCCUCUCCUCCAAUCGCUUCCUACCUGUGUGUCUCUUACGUGUAUUUUACCUGUUCUUGUUUCUCUCUUCUCUCCUUUCUCUUCUCCAUCGAUUUAUUGUUUAUUUUUAUCUGGGUUGUUAGUUAUUCGUAGUCUGUAAGCGGCGAUUUACAGUUUUGUUUCUUGAAAAUUAUUUUUUUAUUUGGUAACACUGCCUUGUAGCGACUAGUUUAUAUUUAAAUUCACUGCUACUACCUUUUAUUCUCCUUCUCCCCUCUUCCUCCUGCUGUGGGCCAGGUGGGCGUCCUUAGGUGGGCUACAUCGCGAGUAACGGGAUCUAGUGAGUUACAUGCAGUUGGCUCCUCCUCCUCCUCCUCCUCCUCUUCCCUUUUCCCCCCGUCUUCACCUCCUCUCCCCUCUUCCCCUUCCCCGGAUGUGGUGUUUGUUUGUCAGCUAUGUAGGUUACGGGUCACGUCACAGCUGGCCCUUCCUCUUUGCCGUAUUCCCUCGCUCCCCCUCUCCCCAUUCCCCUCACCUUCCCUGCUGCCCAUCGCUGUUUUCCUCGUCUUGGUGUGACUUGUGGAGGGAGAGGGGGAGUGCACGUGCCGUGGACUCCACCCUCGUUCCCGCCAACAUCACCAACGGGUCAGAUGGGGCAGGCACGGGUAGUGGUAAAAAGACUAACGAGGUAAUAUUAAAGGUAGAUCAAGUAACGCAGCCCCUCCCCUCGCGUCCCAGCAGGCUCAGCAGGGCCCCGCCGCACCCUGGCCCACGUGAGGCUCCCGCCCUGCCGCCCCGUGCCAUCGUCCCCUUUGCAGUUUGCUGGCUGAGUCGGCACAAUGGAUCUUUUAAGCAGGCGUAUUGCGACACACUGCCAUGCAGGAGAUGGAGAUUGUUAGGGGUGGGGGGUCCUGUGCCCCAGCAGGAACACACACACGAAGCCCUCAUGGGUGGCCCCUCCGCACACGGGCAGGGGCAGUGGCAGUGCAGGGGCGAGACAAGGCGGGUGACGGCAUGACCUACAUGGCUUUGGCACACACACAACAAGUCCCUCCAUGCCCCCAGUGCCCAGGCCGGGUCAGCUAAUGCCACUUGUCCCUCUCUCAGGGCCAUUCGCCUGCCCAGGGCAAACCUCAAACAUGGCUCGUCUAGUGUAUGCACACCCAACGUGCCUACGGAGAGCCAGAAGCACCGCUGGCAGAGGCAAUGAUAGGGUUUUGCAAGAACUACCUGCCCCGAGGGUGUAUGGGAUGUGAAGGAUGCAUUACUGAGGUUUAAAAAUGCGACUUGUUGGACGGCUGGACUGCUGGCGUGGGAAGGGCUGACUCAAAGCCUUGGCCCCCCAGCGACCAUGUGCUCGGAGCAUGCCAAGCCCCUGCCGCCACGGGAGGGGAGUUGGUGUCUUAGCAGCUAGUGCUGAUCUUACCUGUGACCUUGCUCUCCCACCCCCCCUCCCUCCCUCCCUCCCGGAAACAGAGUCGGUAAGUGAAAGUUUACCAAGGCAAUUUUCGGACUGAGGCAGCGGAGGGCAGGGUGCGGGGCACGGCGGGCGGGGCGGGGCGCACCACUGCGCCACCCCGGGCUCCCGUGUGAGCGAGAGUUGGCGCUUCAGGAACACAAGUUAACAGGCCAUCAGGGAGCACAGGAAGUAGGGAGUGUUUGGGGUGGUGCCGCCCAUUCCAUCCUGCCCCGCCGCCCCGUCCCGCCUCGCUGUCCCAGCGGCGGGAAGGUUCACGUGCACGGUUGAUGUGUACGGCUGCGGCGCCGCCCCGCCGCCCGUUGGGGGUCUUGUUUACAUCUCCCCCUUAGGUCUUGUUGACGGGCAGCCCAGGUGAUCAGCGGGUCCCACUCUGUUCCUCCCUCUCCCUCUCCCCCCUCGCAUCGGUGCGCCACAUACCUGAGCGUCACCUGCGCCUCGGCCACCACCACAGAUGCUGCCGGAGGGGGAGGCAAGCUCCGCCCCUUCCCCCUGGCCUCCCCCAGCUUCCCCCGCGACACGCGCGCCAUCUGGGUUGGUGGGCGGCUGGCCCGUAAGGUCGAAACUCUGGCAGUAGAAAGGGAGUGAAGCGGCAGUGAUGCGGGGGUGACGUGGCGGGGGAAGGCGGGAGCGGGGGGGAGACUCAGCUCUCCAUAAGAGUAUAUAAACCUCCGGACGGAGGAGCACAGCGUCGUGGCUCAGCCGACCGACCGGACCCUCUCUCUCUUGCUCUGCUACGGCAGAAGGCUCAGGCCCUUGAGGAGAGGCGUCGAGUCGAGGACGGCUUGAGCAGCCCAGCCCGGCAAGGGCGAGGAGCCCUUCUGCUGGCUGGGCUCCUCCUGCCUGCCGGGACGGGCACGGCGGUGGAGGGCUCGCCGAGCGGCCCACCCACCAGCCGCUUGGCAGGCUGGCGCUGGCCCCCGGCCCCCGCCGCUGCCUCGCUCUGCCAUUGCGGCGGAGCGAGGGAGGGGAGGAGGAGGGUGCCAGGCCACGCCCCCCCCCUCCAUCUGGCGCAGCUCCACGACUGUCUUGCUCUCAAUGAUGAAUCUUUUCUUACAAUAAACAUAACAAUUUCCCUUCCCUGGAUUCUAAACUCAUGAAGUAGCUCUUAUGAUAAUCUCAGUCAAUUAGUCAAGAUAGAGAGAUCAGCACAGAGGUGGAGGUGGCGAGGUGGGGGAUGUGGGAGGGGCAGUAGCGGCGACCUUCAGGCGUCCUGGUGACGCUUCGCCACGCCAGGACCUGGUCCCUGCCCCCCUCCCUGGCUGGCCUGCCCCUACAUCUCGAGGCAAAACACCAGCCUCCCGAAGACCCAACCGUCCCCCCUCAGCGGAGCCUGUCAAGUGCGAGGGGCUGUGUCUGUGUGGCCGGUGGCGGGGUGGCGGAGAAGGGGCGCCCUAACCAUCAACGCCAACAACAAGGAGGGCCAGGCUGCGUGACCCUCGUGGUGUGCUGCUGGAAAGUGUGUGAGCCUCGGCACGGAAAAUCCCGCCGCCCCCUGCCCCGCCCCGGCCCGCCCCGUGCAGGCCUUGACGCGUGUUCCUCCGUGUGUGCGUGUGUACUUACGUGUGGCGUGGAAAAUACCUGUGGACUAGUGGAACAGCCUGUCCUUUGUGAGUGACGUAACAUUGUGGAUUGCAACUCGUCCACAACAUGGGAUAUUUUAGAGAGUGUUAUACAAGCUGAUAUUGUAUAAGUGCUGAAAAGGUUAGGCAAGUGCAGCUGCGGCCCGGAGACAGUGUAGAGGCGGUGAACAGUGUGUGAGCGCCCAAGCGGUGAGGCCUUGUCGGCUGCCCUGCUGUACAGAUGCAGGAGAGGCAUGAAUUUUUCGACCUGAACAAUGUCUGGCGACGUGUGUGUGUAAGAGAGAGAGAGAGAGAGAGAGAGAGAGAGAGAGAGGCAGGUGGAAGGGAACGGGGACGUGAUACGCGAGCAACCUUUGCUGCCUUAGCUGUUUAAGUCUUCUUUCUCCAUUACUCCCUUCCCCUCCUGUCCCUCCUCCCCUUCUUCCCACAGCCUCUUGAGGCGCUGGGGAAAUACCUACUGCGUGAGUGAGUCUCAGUUACCCCGCCCCCUCUUUGCCCCUUAGUACCCUCCAGUACCCCCCCCCCUCUCUCUCUCUCUCUCUCUCUCUCAGCGGACGACUCAUCGUUUACUCGUAAUGAUAAGUGAUUCAUCAUUUUCUCAAGGCGAGCCAUAUUAGACUGCUGUUUCUUGUAUUGAAAAGCGACGGCGAGAUGUUGAGUGGACUGGCGGACCUUGCUUUUCUUCCACGACUUUAUUUACAUGUUGCGCAAUAGUUAGCCUCCAUACUUGGGGUGUGUGUGUGUGUGUGUGUGUGUGUGUGUGUGUGUGUGUGUGUUACAAUCUUGAUGUGUUCUCAUGCUUGACCAUGAACAUUAACCAAGAAGAGCGAAGGGAAGGGGGGUUGGGGUAGUAUCGUAGUUUCCUCAAAUAUCUUGAGAGUAGUUUUGGGAGUUAUGAAUUGCGGACUUCUAAUAAAUUGUCUUUAAAAAAAGGACGAAAUCGAGUGGAGAUAACGUGCGACAUGAUUUAAAUUAGUUAUUAUUAUUAUCAUUAAUGAAGAAAGAAAAAACAAAAUUGUCGGUGCCACGUUGGGGUGGAGAAAAGAGGAGGCUGUGAUGUGUGUACUGAAGGGGUUAAUGUGUCUCGCAGCCGCCUCAGCCGUCACGCAUCCGAAGACAUAUUGGCCAACUGUUAGUGUGUGAUGCCAUAAGGUUCCAGCAAGACUUCUUAAACCGUCCAGGGAACGUGCCAAGCGCAGCUGAACGCUCUAGGCAUGUUAGACGGGUGACGUCCUAGAAAAUGUGGUCUCCUGAAAAUUGUUCCCUUUGAUUUAUUUAUAGUUGAAGUGGGUGAUGGUUUCUCGAGCGGGGAGUGUAAGCGGAGGAGCCGCCGUGGGGUUGGCAACACUGGUCAGAAAACGUGCACCCCCAAGGCCACAACUGACGCGCGCCACCCCGCUCUCACCUCCUGUUCACCACCACCACCCAGCCAUAGCCUCACAGUGGUCACCUCCAAUACUAAAUUAACGUCGGAAGGCUGCUGGCAUGAUAGUAAUUUCCACUCUCCCGUCGCUCCUGAUAAUUCCAGCGGCUGCUUAGACCGCGGUGACUUUAAAACAUUUCGUAGUCGUAUAACUGAUGGAACAAAGCAUGAGCUAGCAGUUUUCAGAGUUCCUAGUCGAAGCCAUAGUCGGGAGAGGUUUAUCCUGAAUAUGUAUUACGUGUAGGGAAGGAGAGGCCAGAGGAGGGUGCAGCCUGGACAGGGCAAGCAAGGAAGGGCGUGGCAAAGCUAACGGAGCAAGACAAGCCAAGGUUUCCAGUCAAGUCACAUCGAAGCGAGUAAGAUGUGUCGGGGCGGUGUGCAUCAGCGGAUGGGGCGGGUGCUGGGAAGGUGAAAUCUGCACUUGCCAGGAAUUGCGGUGGCGCCUAUAUUGGUCCCGUCGACCCUUGCCAAACAUUCCAUUGGGCGAAAUAAUCCUCAUAUAUGCCGUUCCCUGGAGGCGUGCGGAAAUAGGCGUCGCUCUGAGGAGUGUGUCACCCGGUUGGAUCGCGAGCCCCUCCAUCCCGCCGGAGGGAGAGGGCGUCAAGGAGGCGAGAAGCUAGGAGGAACUUGGAGUGGGAAUAAUAAUAAGAGGGGAAGAUGAGGCCUGGUAAUCCCCGCUGGCAACCGAGUGUAGUUCUUGCUGACCCAGAGAAUAAAGACUUGAGUCGCAGUAGUGCAGCCUCCAAUGUUGCCACACCAGACUGCUGCACACACCCUCCUUGCACCCCUCCCCGGCCGGCCCGCAUCGCCUCUCGGAUUGCAUUCGUGCCCUCACUUAAGACUCAUUAACAACACGGAAAUAAAAGGUCGAGACGCUAACCGGAGGGCUGUGAAUGUGGGUGUGGGUGUGUUAUCGGCACCGUGUGGUCUCCAUGAACCAGAGGAUAACGAGAGUAGGGGAGGUGGGGGGGACGUGUCGUGCUGUGCUGCCUGUCAGUCACCUCAAAGCCCCUGCAUCUAGACUGCGAACAGGCGGGGCAGGACACUACUGCCGGGGGUGGCAAUAAUUGAAAGCAAUGAGUUCGAUAUAUUUUGGCGACCAUCAUGCUGAUAAAGUAGAAGACUAGUAGUAGUAGGAGUGUCAGGGACUUCUUAUGACACGACUGGAUUACAAAAUUACUGGCGUCACGAAUAAAAGCACUCUCAAGGCAAAAUACUCUUCACAUCACUGUUACGUGCAAGCUCACACGUUUUCCUUUAUUAGCGAUCUCUCUCUCUCUCUCUCUCUCUCUCUCUCUCUCUCUCUCUCUCUCUCUCUCUCUCUCACACACACACACACACACACACACAUGACACAGGUUUUCCAUCGCUUAUCAAACGAGCUAUCACCAGCCGUGUACAUUUCGAUAUACUGAGUUGCGUCCACGGAAUUUCAUAUCUUACGCUGAAUCACCGUGGUAACAUUUUUCACACACACACACACACAGUUAAGGCAAUGUAUUUCACAAUGGUCUAUUUACUCAGUGUCGUGACGUCCGUCCGCUACUGUACCCUGACGGCCCAUUGUCCAGGCACCGCCAUUCUGCCUCCGACACACUUUUGUCACCACGUGAUGUUAUGCCAGUUAGUUCUCACCGCGACCUCCCUCUGUAUGCAUCCUAAGGUCAACCUGAUGACACGAAUGGCAGAGACGAAUGUGGAGGAAACAGGCAAGAGAGGCGAUGUAUGACGCUUGUUGCCAGGCAGGGGGCGAGUUUUGCUGAUGGCAGUAGCGUGAAUGACUGUGUGUGUGUGUGUGUGUGUGUGUGUUAAGUGAUACAGAAUGUGAAUGUCAAAGAGUAGGACAUACAACAUUAGAACAUAAUUAGUCACAUAAGGCAGUUUCGUGGAAUAGUCGAGAACCAAUUAUGCGUGUGGCGAACGAACUGAUUAAAAUGUGACGUUUGCGGGAGGGAGAGAUGAGUAUGUGACGGCGUUGAGUAGAAGUGUGUUGAUGAGAAGGAAGGAAACGAGGAAUUGCGAGGAGGUGAGAGGAUACGAAGCUGGAAGAGACGAGGAUGGGGUGACAGGAGACGUAUGUGGAAGAGGAUAAUGGUAGGGGUGAGAGGAGACGAAUGGAAGAAAGAGACAAGGAUGUGGGUGAGAGGAAACGAAUGUAGAAGAAAGAGAAGGAUAGGGUGAGAUGAAGAUGAGAUGUGAGACAGUGAUUGAGAUGAGAUGACGCGAAUGGAAGAAAGAGAUGAGGAUGUGGGUGAGAGGAAACGAAUGUUGAAGAAAGAGAAGGAUGGGGGUGAGAUUAGGAUGAGAUGUGAGACAGUGAUUGAGAUGACACGAAUGGAAGAAAGGGACGAGGAUGGGGGUGAAAGGAGAUGAAUGUGAAAGAAGAAGACAAGGAGGAGAGGUGACGGUUCAGUCUAGGUUGCAGACAAGAGAGUGCAGAAGAGCUGUCCUGCUGUAUGUCCCAAGCCGGCUCGGGGGUCACCUUACAUCUUACCCCUCCAUCCACCCCACACCUGCCCUUCCCCCUUCCUUUCCGCCCCUCUCUUGCUACCUACCUGCCUGUCCACACUUGUCCCAGCUGCCACAUCUCACCUUGCAUCACCCCCUGUCUAAACACCUCACAUCUGUCAGUCUCUUGAGCACCUGUUUAUAUAUAGUCUCCCAUAUAGGUAAGCGUUUCUCCAUUUGUCCUUGUCCUCACCUCUCCGUCUUCACCUUCCCUCUACCCAUCAUUCACCCAUCACCUGCUGCUCACCCCUCAGGGCCCAGCCUACCCUUGCCCUUUACUCCCCGGACCUGUUCCCUUCUGUAUCCACCCUCCUAUCAGUAAGUUGGGUCCGCUUCGUCUUAUGUCUGAUAAAGCCACGUACUUGAGCCUCGGUUUACGUGUCUUUUUCUCGUGUGUGUGUGUGUGUGUGUGUGUGUUUAAGAGUAGAGGAAGCAGUUCAAGGGCAAAAAAUGAUGACAGUUAUACGCGGUGUGGGUGUAGGGGUGGGGCCUAAAGAAAAGUAACAGCCUUGGGAUCACAACACAAACUGGUCCGCGUCCUUGCUAUGUAAAUUAGCUUAUAUGUGUUUGUUAAUUUAAUAAUGAUAAUAACUUCGGUGAAGCGGAAGCAAGAGAAAGUUGUUAGCGACAUGAUGUGCACACAGUAUACGUCUCACACACACACACACACACCGCCGUAUAACUGUCAUCAUUCUUACUUAGUUGGUUUCUCAAUGGUGUACUUGUUCAUUCAUACAUUCGGCUGCCCCUCGAGCAUGACAGAAUAUUUGCGUUUGUUGGAGUUGAGUCUGUCGAGCUAUCUGUGCAAGGGACGCGACACCACAGCGGGUGGAAGUGGACGGCGGGCCGCGGCAGGAAAUAUCUGACCAGGCAUGUCUGCGAUGUAUGUUGUGAGAGAGAGAGAGAGAGAGAGAGAGAGAGAGAGAGAGAGAGAGAGCCGUUGUGUUGACCCAGGGAAUGUGCGAGGUAGGAAGGGAGGUGCUACAGGAAGCGCUCCACUGACACCAAUCCCCAGCUUCUGAUCCCCAGCAGAUCAUCCCCAUUUCGAGCCCCAGAAUCUCCACCACAAAUAAUCCCUCAGAACCCCCCGCUCCUUCCCCCUGUCCGUCCUUUCCAAACACAUCCCUCUCCGCAUAUCCCUCUUCUCUUCCGCCACCCUAAAUACCUCCACGAGACCUUCCCUUCCUUUUCCCUCAAGCAUUUCCCCACGACGCGCCCCACCCCUGCCUGUGUGUGUGUGUGUGUGUGUGCCCCCAUGCUUAUCGAGGCGGGCCGUGCGUGGGACCGAGGCACUCUGCCCAUUUGAGGCACCGUGGGCUGCAGUCUUCCUGUACUCGGUUGUAGCAAUGUGGGCUGCAAGUCAUUUAUACAGUACUCUGAUGAGUCAGUGUAGGCUGCAGGCCGCCUGUAUCCGGUGCAUGCCAGCAGUGUAGGGGCAGCACAUGUACUACGUAGUGUGAGUGAGUGUGUGCAGGGUGCACUGUAAGGCCUCGGCGCAGCCUUGAGUGCCGUGCCGGGGCCGCGCAGUCAGCAUCUUGCCGCGCCGCUGCUGUUCAUGUCUCCCCCCUCACGGGAACAAAGAAAUAUAUAAAUAAAGGUUUACACUGAA